AUGAUAGAGGUGCGGUUUUCAACAAGUAAACGGGGAAAAACCUACAGACAUAGGGCCGGAGAAAAGUGAGACCGCCGAAGCGCUGCGCAGAUGUCUGGGGCGCAGAUGCUGGGAUGUUGCAGAAUAUGUAGCAUACUGUCACUUUUAGUGGAGAGCUAUCUGGU
rnacentral:ncRNA from 1 species